AUACAACUUUCAGCAACGGAUCUCUUGGCUCUCGCAUCGAUGAAGAACGCAGCGAAAUGCGAUAAGUAAUGUGAAUUGCAGAAUUCAGUGAAUCAUCGAAUCUUUGAACGCACCUUGCGCUCCUUGGUAUUCCGAGGAGCAUGCCUGUUUGAGUGUCAUUAAAUUCUCAAC
rnacentral:rRNA from 61 species